GACGAACGCUGGCGGCGUGCUUAACACAUGCAAGUCGAACGGAAAGGCCCUGCUUUUGUGGGGUGCUCGAGUGGCGAACGGGUGAGUAACACGUGAGUAACCUGCCCUUGACUUUGGGAUAACUUCAGGAAACUGGGGCUAAUACCGGAUAGGAGCUCCUGCUGCAUGGUGGGGGUUGGAAAGUUUCGGCGGUUGGGGAUGGACUCGCGGCUUAUCAGCUUGUUGGUGGGGUAGUGGCUUACCAAGGCUUUGACGGGUAGCCGGCCUGAGAGGGUGACCGGCAACAUUGGGACUGAGAUACGGCCCAGACUCCUACGGGAGGCAGCAGUGGGGAAUAUUGCACAAUGGGCGGAAGCCUGAUGCAGCAACGCCGCGUGCGGGAUGACGGCCUUCGGGUUGUAAACCGCUUUCGCCUGUGACGAGGCGUGAGUGACGGUAAUGGGUAAAGAAGCACCGGCUAACUACGUG
rnacentral:rRNA from 1 species